AGACAGCAGCCGCCGCGGUAAUACGUAGGUGGCAAGCGUUGUCCGGAAUUAUUGGGCGUAAAGCGCGCGCAGGCGGAUAGGUCAGUCUGUCUUAAAAGUUCGGGGCUUAACCCCGUGAUGGGAUGGAAACUGCCAAUCUAGAGUAUCGGAGAGGAAAGUGGAAUUCCUAGUGUAGCGGUGAAGUGCGUAGAUAUUAGGAAGAACACCAGUGGCGAAGGCGACUUUCUGGACGAAAACUGACGCUGAGGCGCGAAAGCCAGGGGAGCAAAUGGGAUUAGAUACCCGCGUAGUCCCUGUCUCUUAUACA
rnacentral:rRNA from 1 species